UACGGAGGGUGCAAGCGUUGUUCGGAAUCACUGGGCGUAAAGCGCGUGUAGGUGGCCUUCUCAGUCUGAUGUGAAAGCCCGGGGCUCACCCCCGGAAGUGCAUUGGAUACUGGAAGGCUGGAGUACCGGAGAGGAGGGUGGAAUUCCUGGUGUAGCGGUGAAAUGCGUAGAUAUCUGGAGGAACACCGGUGGCGAAGGCGACAUCCUGGACCGGUAUUGACGCUGAGGCGCGAAAGCCAGGGGAGCAAACGGG
rnacentral:rRNA from 1 species